GAUCUGGCAAGACUUACACCAUCCUGGGCCACAAGGAUGCGCCAGGAUUGGCACCCAGGAUGUGUGAAGGUUUAUUGAAAAGACUCCGCGAGAGAUACAACCCUGAGGAUAUCUGUGGCCAGGACUACUCUAUCACACUCAGCCUUGUUGAGAUCUAUAAUGAACGUGUGAGGGAUCUCUUGGCGGACACUGAUACUGGAAGAUGUUUACGUGUCAGGGAACACCCUAAUACUGGCCCUUAUGUUGAUAAUAUGA